GUUCCUGUAGCGCAAUGGAUAACACAUUGGACUUCCAAUCCAAAGUUCGUGGGUUCAAAUCCCACCUGGGACG